GCUUUUCGUUAUUCAUGUAUCCUGGGAGACCUAGAUUAAACUAGAAAGCCUGGCUGGAAGGACAUGGGCCACAUGGUAAAUUACUCGGGAUUUUUGCUUCCGCCCUGGGUUUUGUACGUUGUUUUUCUAACUUUGAGUCUCAGCCUACUGUUGAUGUUGCUCGAGGCAAGACAAGAAAAGGUAACCAUGUGUAGCUACAUUGUAUACCAUAUAUAGCUUCUCAAUACGCCCUUACUGCUCUGAAAACAAGUCCCUUGUACUCUCUAUGUAUAGAUGAUUGCGUCACAAGGGUGAUUCCCCAGCCUGGGUAUAUCGAUCACUUGUUUUUCUUGCGACACUCGAGUCGUAGGGUAGUGUCUAGCAGCCACUACCAUCAGUCUGGCCCUCUACAAUUUUCCACAAAAUUAGACCGUGAAUAUCACAAGGUGAAGUAGAGAUACAGACGUCGGUCUUUUGUAAUUGCAAGGACAUUGCCGUUGUCAAAGCGAAUGACGUCACCAGUUCAGCUUCAGUUUUGUAGAAGCCACGGCAAGUAAUAUGGCAUCAGCAGACUGGAGUGAUGUCUUUGAGAGGGAGAUAUAUGAAGAGUUCGAAGACGAGUGGACCUUGACCGAGGUUGAUGACUUACUCGACAUCUACAAAGCUAGAGACUAUGGGUGGAAGCAGUUUACCGACAAAGCUAAGGUUCGGUUUGAGUGCAGCAGGUGUGACAACGUCUGGACGUCCAUUAGGGGUGUCGUCAUCUUCCAUUACCGCCUCAAGGAGACAGGUGAAGUAAAAAUGUUCCUGCCAGGGCAAAAGUGCCACCGCUGCGAAGAUGAUUUCGAGUAUCCAGAGUGGUACGAAGACGAGAUGGUCAAGGUGAUGCAAAAUCUCCAAAAGAAGAUCGAUGAAAAGUUCUACACCACGGGAGGUGGCUCUAGAGGUUUGAACUUGGGUCAGAGAUCAGCCAACAUGACAAGCAAACAUGAGGCCGACCUUUGUGAAGCAUGUCAGAAGGGCAUUUGUAGGCAGAGUACGGGGGAUUACUGGGGUCUUCAUGGGGAUACAGAGGGUAGCACUAGUCAGACAGAUGAGGAAUCAGAUGAUGAGGAAUCAACUGAUGAGAAAUCAACUGAUGAGGAAUCAGAUGAUGGCACAGAAAAUCAGUCAGAUGAGGAAUUUUUGUUUUUGUUUUUGUUAAUUUUUUGUUUUGUUUAUUUGUUUCGCAAAGAAUUAUGAAAUGAACACAACAGUGCAAGGGAGGACAAAGGCUUCUGCUUAUGAGAACACCUUCCUUAACUAAUUUAUUACAACUUAUAUAUAAUGAAACAAAGAAAUAGGUAACGUUAUGGAUAGUAGAUAACGGAACCAAUGGAAUGAAAUGAAAACAUAUUACACUAAAUGAUUAACCAUAACUAACGCAAUAGUGAAUGGAUAUAAGUUAUAAAUUGAAUGUUACCAGUGUUAAAUAAGGAAGUUUAUAAAUUGAACAAAAGAAAUAAGUGUGGAUAAUACAUGACGGAACCAAUACAAUGAAAACACAUUGCAAUAACUAAUUAAUCAUAACUUAGAAUGGAUAUUAGUUAUGAGUCGAAACGUUAUCAGUAGGAAGUGUAAAACCAACUAAAGAAAUGUUGGGUUGAAUGUAAGUUCAUCUGUGACGGUAGUUAACAUAAUGAUAUAAUUUUUAAGACUUUAUAUCCGUACACAAAAUAAAGCGCUUACCAACAAGCUUUCGAUCAGUCCUCUGAUCCUUCUCAAGUUGUAAUGACCCAACACCUAAGUCGCACUUCCGAAACGUCAGUAAAGGGUCUUUCUCAGGGGACUGAAAGAGGCUAUUUACAUCAGAGCCCACCAACCUUCCCUCAACCGAGACGGGGGCCGAUACCGACUGUCAAGCACCUUUGACCCUUUACAGGUAUCCUCAAUUUUCAAAUAAACCAAUCAUCAUCAUCAUCAUAUAUUUGUAUUAUACUAUUCAGUUGGGUCUAAUGGCGUCUAUUAGUGGCCACUAUGUCUUACGCAAAGGAGGCAGUCGUAAGAAAUCGCGGCCACUCCCACGUAUAUUUUGGUAAGUAUGGAAUCUAAUAUUAGCUUCUAUCAGGCUCCACAGGUCGUCGGAAAAAUUGAAGAAAUAUAGACAGAUAACAUGAAAGGGGAGUUAGCUAUGCAAGGAGUAUGGUCUGCGACCAGCUAACUCCGCUGGCAUAUUUAAUAUCUGGCUAUGUUUGUCCAAUUUCUAUUAUUUUUCAGCGACCUCUGGAGCCUGGUAGGGGUUACGACAUACGGACUUGAAUAUAUACGCAGGUGUGAACCUACCUUUACCACCCCCAUCCACUCGACCGAAACCUCAGCUUGGAGAAUAGAACACGCACGCAGGUUUCGGUCUUGUGCCAGUAAUCGAUGGGACCUCGAACUUUAUAGCGUGCCCAGUGAUCACGUUGUGCUGACAAUAAAGUUUCGUCGAAACCUGCUAUUCAAAUGAAUCCCCUUUUCAAAUGGUGAUUGGUUACACUUCUGUCAAAGCCAAAGGUGUUGUUUGGCAGUAGCAUCAAGUUACAUGGUCCAACACACCUUUCCUGUCGCACGCAACAAGUCACGUAGCGAUAAUUCAGUGGCAGUGCUCUCAAGAGGGAAGAUCGUCUUCUGUGAAGUUACUUUGCCAAAUAAAAGAGAGCCAUGGCAGUUGGUGGAGCACCAGAAGACUGGAGUGAUGUUUUUGAGACGGAGAUCUGUGCAGUGUUCGAAGACGAGUGGGGCUUAACCAAGGUCAAUGACUUACCUGACAUCAACCAAGCCAGAUUUUCUGGGUGGAAACAGUUCACUGACAAAGCUACGGUUCGGUUUGAGUGCAGACACUGUAGUAACACCUGGACCUCCAUAAAGGGUAAAGUCAUCUUCCACUACCGCUUGCAGCAGCAACAGGUGUUGAAGAAAGUGGGAAGUAAGAAAGUAGGAAGUGAGAAAGUGGGUGAGGUGAGAAUGUUCCUGCCAAGGCAGAUGUGCAGACCUUGCCAACAUCUCCAAACCUUUGAGUCUCCAGAGUGGUUCAAAGAGGAGAUGACUAAAGUAAUGCAGAAUCUCCAAAAGAAGAUCUUUGAAAAGUUUUACAGUGUUGAGCCUCUGCCCAAGCAGUUGAAUGAAGGUCAAAGAAGGGCAAACAUGAAAAGCAAUCAUGAGUCCCACCUUUGUGAGGCAUGUCAGAAGGGAAUCUGUCGGCAGAUGGUUAGGGAUUAAAUACUUCUCUGUGAAGAGUGGAUUGUGGCCCUGUACUGUCAUACAACUUAUUGUACUAAUUUCGAUUUCACCAAGUAAUUACCAAACCAUACAGUACCAAAGUUCUGAUUAUUAGGGCAGAUCAACCCUUCCUCUUCAUGAAGGGAAUUUGCUUUGAGUGCUGGGAUGACUCAUGGCUUAUUGCUGCCAUGUGUGUGUAAAUUCAUGAUACACUGUGUCAGGUGAAAAUUUAUUGCUAUGCAUUGUCAUUGUGUGAAUCCAAAUGCAUAUCUCCGUCACACCUUAAUUCAUAUAUGAUUAAGUCAAACAUGUUGAUAUGUGCUACAAGCAGGCAAAGCUGGAAAUUCAAAGCAUCAAUUCAUAUGAUACCUCAAAUGAUAUACUAAUAACGUUACAUCAUUUCCAGUUAAGUAACGAUAUAUCAUCGUUAGAGAAGUGAGUUAAUUAUUGCUUUGUGACAGAUUUGUAUUUCUCUUCAUAGCAGAGUGUAGAGAUUGAUGUAACAGUUGUAUGCAGUUGGUACGUGGUUGUCAAUACUGUGUUAAUGGUUGCAAAGUAAGUGCCUAUCAAAGAUGGUGUAUGAAAGGUUUCGUCUGCCUUCUCUUGUGAUAAAGAAAUUAAUAAAAGUCAAUCAACAA